rnacentral:rRNA from 1 species
AUUGAACGCUGGCGGCAGGCUUAACACAUGCAAGUCGAACGAGUGGCGGACGGGUGAGUAAUGUUUGGGAAACUGCCUGAUGGAGGGGGAUAACUACUGGAAACGGUAGCUAAUACCGCAUACCAUACGAUGUGCCCAGAUGGGAGUAGCUAGUUGGUGGGGUAACGGCUCACCAAGGCGACGAUCCCUCGCUGGUCUGAGAGGAUGACCAGCCACACUGGGACUGAGACACGGCCCAGACUCCUACGGGAGGCAGCAGUGGGGAAUAUUGCACAAUGGGCGCAAGCCUGAUGCAGCCAUGCCGCGUGUAUGAAGAAGGCCUUCGGGUUGUAAAGUACUUUCAGCGGGGAGGCGUUACCCGCAGAAGAAGCACCGGCUAACUCCGUGCCAGCAGCCGCGGUAAUUC